CCUACGGGUGGCAGCAGUGGGGAAUAUUGCUCAAUGGGGGAAACCCUGAUGCAGCGACGCCGCGUGAAGGAUGACGUAUCUCGGUAUGUAAAGCUCUUUUAUUAGAGAAGAAAAUGACGGUACCUGACCAAUAAGCCCCGGCUAACUUCGUGCCAGCAGCCGCGGUAAUACGGAGGGGGCAAGCGUUAUCCGGAUUUACUGGGUGUAAAGGGAGCGUAGACGGGAUAUCAAGUCCGGAGUGAAAUCCUGGGGCUUAACCCUAGAACUGCAUUUGAAACUGUUAGUCUGGAGUGCAGUAGAGGUAGGCGGAAUUCUUGGUGUAGCGGUGAAAUGCGUAGAGAUUAAGAGGAACACCGAUGGCGAAGGCGGCCUACUAGACUGUAACUGACGUUGAUGCUCGAAAGCGUGGGGAGCAAACAGGAUUAGAUACCCUAGUAGUC
rnacentral:rRNA from 1 species